GGAAGAGAGAUAAGCAGUUGGCGGGGACCAUCCGUUAUCGGUCCAUAUUGGGUAGAUCUACCCCUCUCAUCCUCUGAUCCUUUAUCUACCGUUCAAUCUAUUGAUUUUAUUUCUUCUCGACUGGCCUAUUACGCACUCGGGCCAAUCUACUACACGCUAAUAAUGGUCUUUUGAAUUUCAUCUCCUACAAAAAUAGCAAGUGGUUGGCCGUUCGAUCGAGUCCAUCCCUUGAAGUCGUACCCUCCCAGUAUGCGUGAGUCUUCCGCCGAUUGACAGAAAUGCCGGCCGGAAUUCGAGAACGGUCCAUCCCACCAUAAUGGAUCUCUCCUACCGCUACCUACUAGUGGAUCGAUUUAGGGAAGGAAAGAAAUGCCGAUGUUGCAAUUCUUCCCAUAUGCGAGAGUCUUUCGCCGAUUGACAGAAAUGCCGGCCGGAAUUGGAGACGAUCCACCCCACCAUAAUGGAUCUCUCCUACCGCUACCUACUAGUGGAU
rnacentral:lncRNA from 1 species